rnacentral:rRNA from 1 species
ACAAAAACAUUGCUUCUUAUGUCUGAUAAGAAGUCCUGCCAGUGAAUAAAUUUCAACGGCCGCGGUAUCCUAACCGUGCAAAGGUAGCAUAAUCACUUGCCCAUUAAUUGUGGGCUAGAUGAAAGGACUAACGAAAUAAAACUGUCUUAUAAGUGGCAUAAAAAUUAAUUUUAAGAAGAUUGUUAGAACGUUGAAGGCAAGAAGCCCAUAGAGCUUAUUUUAAUAAAAUAUAAUUUAUUAAAUUCGGGGGGGACCAGGGAAAAUAUCAUCCCUUAAUAGCAGAUAACUCAAUCCACACUUGACCCUUUACAAGAUCAUCAAAACAAGCUACCUAGGGAUAACAGGGUAAUCCCACUAAAGAGUCCUUAUCAAUAGUGAGGUUUGGCACCGAUGUUGGCUAGGGAAUCUAUGCGGGCAAAAGUCACAUAAAGA